GAGAAUCUUCAGGGCAGGGUGCAAUUCCCUACCGGUGGUACAGCCCACGAGCCGCAAGGCAUGAUUCGGUGAAACUCCGAAGCCGACAGUAAAGUCUGGAUGAAAGAAGAUUGGA
rnacentral:ncRNA from 2 species